AGGGAAUCUUCCGCAAUGGACGAAAGUCUGACGGAGCAACGCCGCGUGAGUGAAGAAGGUCUUCGGAUCGUAAAACUCUGUUGUUAGGGAAGAGCAAGUAUCGGAGUAACUGCCGGUACCUUGACGGUACCUAACCAGAAAGCCACGGCUAACUACGUGCCAGCAGCCGCGGUAAUACGUAGGUGGCAAGCGUUGUCCGGAAUUAUUGGGCGUAAAGCGCGCGCAGGCGGUCCUUUAAGUCUGAUGUGAAAGCCCACGGCUCAACCGUGGAGGGUCAUUGGAAACUGGGGGACUUGAGUGCAGAAGAGGAAAGCGGAAUUCCACGUGUAGCGGUGAAAUGUGUAGAGAUGUGGAGGAACACCAGUGGCGAAGGCGGCUUUCUGGUCUGUAACUGACGCUGAGGCGCGAAAGCGUGGGGAGCAAAC
rnacentral:rRNA from 1 species